UAUGAAAACAAUCAAUUGCUAAAGAAAUUCAUUAAUAAGAACGAUGAUAUGAAAUUGAAAGGGCAGGACAAAAUUUGCUGACUGGCUACGCAGGCUUCGCUAUAAUAUCCGAUACCCUGUAUAAAAAUCUGUAGAUUCGCGACUUACUUGGUUUUUGACUCAACUCGUCGUCCGUCAUCAUUCUUUUUAUGGCAAGUGGAUUAAUGGCUUCUCCGACACGAAUUGCCACAAAGCAUAACGAAAGACAUUGCGCAUAAAAGAUAACCGUCGACAUAUCCUUAUUUUUCUGCUCCUUCAAUAUUCUAAAUUGAAUUCGUCGAUUGCUUCGCUACGUUUAUUUAUAGCAUGAGUUUGAAACGACAGCAUGAGCCGUUGUAUACCGUUUCACAAAUGCAAACCUCUUUUAUAGUACCAAUGACGCGCACGCAAAGUAAAUAUUCCGACGUAAGAUGACAGAUUAAUGACAAAUAUAAAUUCGAUCUCAAUUGAAUUGUUGUAAUUUAUUUACCGUUUAGUACAUCCGCCCUCAUAAAGUCGCGUGAACUCAAUUACUUACGGAAGUUGCCAAACUACAAUGGUUGGUAUUCUACUACCACAUGAAACUCGAGCAUUCCUCAAUUAAGAACAGCAAAAUGGCGUAAUCAGUCCGCUUGUAUUCUGUCCUGUGUUCAUGUGAAAACAAUAGAUUUCUAAGAAAUAAAUAACUAUGAUGUCCUCAAAUGUA